AUUGAACGCUGGCGGCAGGCUUAACACAUGCAAGUCGAGCGGGGUGAUGGUGCUUGCACUAUCACUUAGCGGCGGACGGGUGAGUAAUGCUUAGGAAUCUGCCUAUUAGUGGGGGACAACAUCUCGAAAGGGAUGCUAAUACCGCAUACGUCCUACGGGAGAAAGCAGGGGAUCACUUGUGACCUUGCGCUAAUAGAUGAGCCUAAGUCGGAUUAACUAGUUGGUGGGGUAAAGGCAUACCAAGGCGACGAUCUGUAGCGGGUCUGAGAGGAUGAUCCGCCACACUGGGACUGAGACACGGCCCAGACUCCUACGGGAGGCAGCAGUGGGGAAUAUUGGACAAUGGGGGGAACCCUGAUCCAGCCAUGCCGCGUGUGUGAAGAAGGCCUUAUGGUUGUAAAGCACUUUAAGCGAGGAGGAGGCUCUUUUGGUUAAUACCCAAGAUGAGUGACGUUACUCGCAGAAUAAGCACCGGCUAACUCUGUGCCAGCCGCCGCGGUAA
rnacentral:rRNA from 1 species